rnacentral:rRNA from 1 species
UGCAAGUCGNACGGAGUUUUUCUUCGUGGCGCACGGGUGAGGAAAAACAGAAUGCUACCUUUUAGUCCAGAAUAAAAAUACUUGUAUUAAAUACUGGAUAUUAAUAAGGGUUUCAAGUUUUUAAUUUGAUUCCGCUAAAAGAUGGGUCUGUGUAAGAUUAGGUAGUUGGUAGAUUUAACAGCCUACCAAGCCAUUGAUCUUUAGUUGAUCUUUGCGGAUGAUCAACCACACUGGAACUGAAAUAAGGUCCAGGCUGAAUUUUCGGCCAGCAGUGAGGAAUAUUGGACAAUGAACGAAAGUUUGAUCCAGCAAUACUAUUUGAAUGAAGACGGCUUAUUUUAGUUGUAAAGUUCUUUCGUUAACGAUGAUAAUGACAUUAGUUAAAGAAGUAGUCCCGGCUAAUACUCGUGCCAGCAGCCGCGGUAAAACGGGAGGGGCAAGCGUUAUUCGGCAUGACUGGGCGUAAAGGGUCCGUAGACGGUAAAGUCAGUUCUUAGUUAAAUCUUAAAGCUUAACUUUAAAACAGCUUUGAAUACUGCUUUACUUGAGUUUUAUACAGAAAACUAGAAUUCUAUACGGAAGGGUAAAAUCUAUAGAUAUAUAGAGGAAUAUCAGCAGCGAAGGCGAGUUUUUGGUAAAAACUGACGUUGAGGGACGAAAGUAUGGGGAGCAAACAGGAUUAGAUACCCUGGUAGUCCAUACCGUAAAUUCUGAGUGCUGUAAUUUAAUGUAAGUUAAAGAGUUUCGUACUUAUAAAAACUUAUUUAGAUUUUUAAGCUAACGCCAUAAGCACUCCGCCUGAGAAGUACGAUCGCAANGNUGGAACUCAAAGGAAUUGACGGGGGCUNANACUAGUGAUGGAGCAUGUGGUUUAAUGCNAUAAUCCGCGCAGAA